rnacentral:rRNA from 1 species
AGCAGUCGCCACGGUAAUACGUAGGUGGCAAGCGUUAUCCGGAAUUAUUGGGCGUAAAGCGCGCGCAGGCGGUUUCUUAAGUCUGAUGUGAAAGCCCACGGCUCAACCGUGGAGGGUCAUUGGAAACUGGGGAACUUGAGUGCAUAAGAGAAAAGCGGAAUUCCACGUGUAGCGGUGAAAUGCGUAGAGAUGUGGAGGAACACCAGUGGCGAAGGCGGCUUUUUGGUCUGUAACUGACGCUGAGGCGCGAAAGCGUGGGGAGCAAACAGGAUUAGAUACCCGGGUAGUCCCUGUCUCUUAUAA